GAGUAGUUGUCACAUUUUAUUUCUAGGCCAAAUGUCUUUUACCUGGAAUGUGGUUUGAUAGAAACUGAAGUCGCCUGGGCAGUCCAAUGGACAAGAUGUUGAAGUCAAAGGCUUUGGUUUAUUUGAAUCUCUGCCACUAAAUAAGCUCAUUCUUAAACCACUAUAGGUCUUAAUUCAAGGUUUAUUUUAACUGGAAGGAAGCUCUACGUUGAAUUCUGUGGACCUUGUCCUGUUGCCUACAAUGUGCCACAAUGGCCACAAUGCCACAAUGAUUCUAUGAUUCUACAAUGUGCCUCCUGUGACAGACUUCAAAUUGGGAAUGACUGAUAAUGCUAGGGGCCAGAGACAGCCACCAUGAUGACAGAGUAGAGAGUUGCCGUUAUGUGCUGCAGAGGAUGGUGCUAAUUGGAUCUUCAGGGAGGGAGAGUCUUUUCUCCUGGGUCAGGAAGUCCUCAUGCAGGCAGAUGGAAUUUAAAGAUUAUCCAGAAACACCAUCCAAAACUGUCUGUAUCUGGCAGUGAUGUUGAUCGUGGUGGGAGAAGAAGAUCCUGUUUAUAUUGUCCUUGCUGCAAGGGCGUAAAUUAUGGGAUGCAUACAAACCAACCCUCAGUCUCCAUGCACUUCUUGCAGGAGGUCUGUGUUUAUAAUUGCAUAAACCAUCUGUUUAGUGUUUGCAAAAUAAACACUUGCUUUUUUGAUAGUACA
rnacentral:lncRNA from 1 species